UAAACCACCAGGAGCUCCAGAGGCCAGGUUCUGCCCGGCAACCUCAACCCUGUGCUUGUUGCAAGUUGUUCGGAUUUGUGCAAGUAAUGAUUCGGGGCUAGAGAGAGCAUCGUGUGGCUGGUGCUCAUCUGACAGGUCCAUUCCAGGCAAGAUGAUUUUGCAUGAAUUCCUUGCAAACAUCUCUGCAACUGCUUCAUAGCCAUUUCUUGAGGCCGUGUUAUAGAAGCCGGCAGUCAGUUCAGAAGGGUGUGCCCGGGUUUUGUACCACGAGUGCAUCAAUGGGACUUUCCCAUAAACAUUGACUUCAGUAUCACCAAAAAUGGACGAGACAAGAGAGAGGAGACGAUUGCCGUGAGAUACAAGCUCGCUUGAGUACCAGGAAAGGAAGAAGUCACCAUAAGGACUUUCCCACGACCCACCGUGAUCCUUGAAGAAACUAUUUGAGUUCGGUGCCUGAUCAUAAGUAGGGGCAUCAUGUGGACCACCUAGACCCCAUAAUGGGUUUCCAUUUGCUUCAGCAUAUUGCUUAAGAAGGUUAAGCAUGUUUGUGUCAUAACAUUGGAACUCCCCGACUCCAGUAAUCGUGCCACUCUUGGCAGGCUUGUGGUGUGAGGGAUACCGGAGUUCACCAUCUGGUCCAAGACCCAUUGAGAUGCCCUGAAAAACCACAACACAGAAGCCAUUAACAUCAGCACACCAACAUAGGAUCUAUGGCUUAUUUAACCAAGUUGUUCAACUGACAACCCCUUACCGUGAUGGUAGAACCCAUGAAAGGUGAGAAUGUGGACUUAAAGCUCUCGCAAAAGCCCUGGUAGAC
rnacentral:lncRNA from 1 species